rnacentral:rRNA from 1 species
CCCUGCCUUUUGUACACACCGCCCGUCGCUCCUACCGAUCGAGUGAUUAGGUGAAUUUAAUGGACUUCGGAAAGUUAAAUAAACCUGACCACUUAGAGGAAGGAGAAGUCGUAACAAGGUUUCCGUAG